GACGAACGCUGGCGGCGUGCCUAAUACAUGCAAGUUGAGCGAUGAAGAUUGGUGCUUGCACCAAUUUGAAGAGCAGCGAACGGGUGAGUAACGCGUGGGGAAUCUGCCUUUGAGCGGGGGACAACAUUUGGAAACGAAUGCUAAUACCGCAUAACAACUUUAAACAUAAGUUUUAAGUUUGAAAGAUGCAAUUGCAUCACUCAAAGAUGAUCCCGCGUUGUAUUAGCUAGUUGGUGAGGUAAAGGCUCACCAAGGCGAUGAUACAUAGCCGACCUGAGAGGGUGAUCGGCCACAUUGGGACCGAGACACGGCCCAAACUCCUACGGGAGGCAGCAGUAGGGAAUCUUCGGCAAUGGACGAAAGUCUGACCGAGCAACGCCGCGUGAGUGAAGAAGGUUUUCGGAUCGUAAAACUCUGUUGGUAGAGAAGAACGUUGGUGAGAGUGGAAAGCUCAUCAAGUGACGGUAACUACCCAGAAAGGGACGGCUAACUACGUG
rnacentral:rRNA from 1 species